CCGUUGGUGUUUGACUGCAGAAUCAGAUCCAGACCUCUCUUUUCUCUCUCUCUCGCCGAAACCCUAACCUUCGAGCUUCCGCCGCCGUUUCUCUCUCGCCGGAUCUUUCAAGCGUCAGCUUCGACAGACAACGCCGCCGGAAGUUUUUCUCCCGCUGAACCUGUAGAACAGAUGGAAGAAGAUACAUUGAGUUGUAAUAUUGGGGGUGGUGGGGGUGGUGAUCACUCUUCUUCUAUUCCAGUGGAUGUAGAGGAGCAUGGGAUUCUUCCUACACCUUCAUCCACAUAUACCCAAAACCCUACACAUUUCAUCCCAUCUUUAGCCAAGAAACCCAAAAAAGCAUCUAGCAAUCAAUCAGUGGUAUGGAAACACUUUACUAAAGUGGAGCCUAUUGACCAUGAUAACUCGAAAGCUCAAUGCAAUUAUUGCGCCAAGCUGUUUAAUUGCCACUAUAAGAAUAGUACUUCGUUCAUGAUGCACCACCUCCACAAUGCUUGUGAAACUUCUCCUCUUAGAAUUAAAAGGGUUGAAAAAAGUCAAACCUCGAGUGUUAAGAGAGAUGCAAAGGGACGAGUGUGUAGUCCACAAGGGCUUGUAAAGUAUGAUCCAGAAAAACUUAGGGUGUCAACUGCUAAGUUUUUUAUUAGAUGUGAAUUGCCUUUUUGGCUUGUGGAGGACGAUAGGUUUAUAGAGUUCGUGACUGAUGUGGAGUCUAGAUUUACUUUGCCAUCCCAAACCACUUUACAAAGGGAUUGUAUUAAGUUAUAUCAUGAAGAGAAGAUAAAGUUAAAGAAGUUGUUGGGUGGUCAAAGGAUUUGUCUUACCGUUGAUACUUGGACAUCGGUGCAAAAUAUGAACUACAUGUGUAUUACCGCACAUUUCAUUGAUUGCAAUUGGAGAUUGCAUAAGAAAAUUCUUAAGUUUUGCCAAAUUCCUGACCCUGAGGGCGAAACUAUUGGGAGGGUAUUGGACUUGGGAUUUACAUGAGUGGGGGAUUGAUAAAAUUUUGACCAUCACCAUUGAUAACGCCUCCUCUAAUGUUGUUUCCAUUGAUUACAUGAGUAAGAGGAUAAAGGACAAUAAUUGUACCAUAUUGGGUGGUGAAUUUCUUCAUGUGCGGUGUGCUGCCCAUAUAUUAAACUUGAUUGUUAUGGAUGGUUUGAAAGAUGUUUAUGACUUUGUAACAAGAAUUAGGGAUGCCGUCAGAUAUGUGAAGUCUUCACCAUUAAGAUUUGCGAAGUUUAAGGCUUGUGCAGUAAGGGCAAAUAUUGGUGGGAGGAUGAUUUGUUUGGAUGUUCCUACUAGAUGGAGCUCCACAUAUUUGAUGUUGAGUACUGCUGAAAAACAUCAACAAGCAUUUGAACAAUAUGUUUAUGAGGAUGCUCAGUUUGUGAACCCCACUUGUGAUGAUUGGAAAAAUGCACGAAUAUUUGUAGAGUUGCUGAAAAUUUUUUAUAAAGUUACAUUGAACAUUUCUGGUUCUUUAUAUGUGACUGCUAAUGUAUAUUUCUAGGAACUAUGCAUAAUUGAAGACAUAUUAAAUGAUAUGUGUAUGAGUGAUGAUAUUAUUACUAAUACCAUGGGCAAAAAUAUGAAAAAUAAGUAUGACAAGUAUUGGGGUAGCGCAGAUAGGUUCAACUUGAUGAUAUAUGUUGCUUUCGUGCUUGAUCCACAAUAUAAGAUGAUGGCUAUGAGGUUUUGGUUGAAAACGUGCAAAGGGGAUGAGUUGGCGGAUAGGAUAGAGGCCAAGGUUAAACUCAUUUUAAGCCGCUUGAUCGAGCAAUACGAUACAUUUCGUGUGGUUAAAGGCCAAGCACUACUUCUAAUGAGACAGCACCGCCUCCAAGUAAAUUUGAUAUCAUGCUUGCCAAAUUCUUUGAGGAGCAGGGUUUUAUGGGGUUUGGAUCAGAACUAGAGAGGUAUUUGUCCGAGGGGUGUGUAAAACGAUCACCCAAUUUUGAUAUUUUAGAUUGGUAGAGAAUUAAUGCCAUGAAUUAUCCUAUCCUUGCUGAGGUAGCACAUGAUGUGUUAGCCAUCCCCAUUUCCACUGUUGCCUUGGAGUCUGCAUUUAGUGCUGAAGGAUGCAUCUUGGAUCCUUUUAGGAAUUCAUUAUCUCCAGAGACUACUGAAGCCCUCAUUUGCACCCAAAAUUGGUUUAGGACCAAAGCAGUCGACAUCCAGAAGUUAGAAGAAUACUUGGAAUCGAUUGACCUUGAAGAUGAUCAUCCAACUUCAUCUUCAGCGUGAUGAGGACCAAGCGUUAACUUUUGUUGAUAGAGUUGAUGGCUGGCUGCAGAAUUGCUGUUAGGGAUGGGGCAUCUUGGAUUGUUUUCCUGCAUCAAUGGAGGCAUGUUUUGCCUUGGUUAUCAUUUUGUCGUCAUCUUUGCCCAUCUUGGCACAGCUUUUGGUUUCCUUGCUGCCACCAUGGCCAUUCAGAGGAUCUGGCAGAGACACAGAGAGGGAGCUCACUAAGUGGGAGCGGAGAGGACUAUACGCCAAGCACCUGGCUUGAUGCAUCCUUCUUCAACACCAUUGUCAAAUAAUGAGAUCAAGGAAUUAUAGUAAUUCAUAAAUUGUAAUUUUGUAUCUCACAUCUUGUAAUUUUGUGCUUUUGUAAUGUAUAAAUACCAAACAAUGUAAAUA